rnacentral:rRNA from 1 species
GAUGAACGCUGGCGGCGUGCUUAACACAUGCAAGUCGAACGGAAAGGCCUCUGCUUGCAGGGGUACUCGAGUGGCGAACGGGUGAGUAACACGUGGGUGAUCUGCCCUGCACUUCGGGAUAAGCCUGGGAAACUGGGUCUAAUACCGGAUAGGACAAUGGUUUGGAUGCUGUUGUGGAAAGUUUUUCGGUGUGGGAUGAGCUCGCGGCCUAUCAGCUUGUUGGUGGGGUAAUGGCCUACCAAGGCGUCGACGGGUAGCCGGCCUGAGAGGGUGUACGGCCACAUUGGGACUGAGAUACGGCCCAGACUCCUACGGGAGGCAGCAGUGGGGAAUAUUGCGCAAUGGGCGCAAGCCUGAUGCAGCGACGCCGCGUGGGGGAUGACGGCCUUCGGGUUGUAAACUCCUUUCGCUAGGGACGAAGCGUUUUUGUGACGGUACCUGGAGAAGAAGCACCGGCUAACUACGUG